GCUAAGGCGCGAUUGAAUGCGCACGGGAAUGGGGAGGACCCAGCUCGCAAGUAACCCAUUUGUUGCGCUAAGCUACGGGUUCGGGUCCUGGAGCGGGUUGACGCGGGGACCCUCCCCUUUGAAACGGCGCCGUUUCGUAUUUUGCUUAAAACAAUAAAAAAAAUGGCAAUCAGCCAUUUUACCAGCCACAAAACCGAACACCCAAUUGCUAGGGUUUCGGCGCCGCAGCUCUGUGGCUUUUCCAGUCCCCUUUGCCCUUUUGGUUGACUUGCAGGCUACCACGGCACCACGCGCGCCUUCAUCAUCCGUCGUAGCUCUGACCGGAUCCCCAAGGAUCCGUUUGGCCUUGGACGGAGAGGCAACUGUCGAUUAAGUCGGCGUCGAUCGACAGGUACAGGGGUACGGGGCCAGCUGUGGGGAUAUGUGGCACUCGACGUGGGGUGUACGGAGGCGUUGAAGGCGGUUGUACGGCGCGAGGGCUGGGGCUCGCCUGCGGUUGCGGCGCAAUUGUGAGGAGGAAACCCUAGGGUGUCUUUUCUAAAAACAUUGGGCCUAUCGGGCUUGUAAUCUGGGUUGGUCUUUGAUAUUGGGCUGUAAGGUAUUAGUUUGUAUUGGGUCUGGGACUUGGGUUAUGUAUUUGGACAGUUUAAUGGACUAUCAUAAUAAUAGUUUUUAUUUUUGUAAUAA